rnacentral:misc_RNA from 1 species
AAAAAAAAGAAAGAAGCGAUUUUACCUUGUAAACGAGACUAUGAACAGUUAGCUGCAUUGAUUACAGUAGGGCCAAGGUUAUUAGAGACAUGGGAACAUGUAAACCAUAGUUUGAACCAGUUGGAAAAUUAACUAAGGAAUAUUAAAUGAACGAUUGACGAAAACGAUUAUCGUCGAAUAAAAAACAAACGGUCGCCAGAAAUAUGAGAACGAUUCUAACUCGCAAAACUAAGGAUAAGCAGAGUUGUCACCAAAAGAUGAAUCUGUCUGAUUUGC